GACGAACGCUGGCGGCGUGCCUAAUACAUGCAAGUAGAACGCUGAAGAGAGGAGCUUGCUCUUCUUGGAUGAGUUGCGAACGGGUGAGUAACGCGUAGGUAACCUGCCUGGUAGCGGGGGAUAACUAUUGGAAACGAUAGCUAAUACCGCAUAAAAUUGAUUAUUGCAUGAUAAUUAAUUGAAAGAUGCAAUUGCAUCACUACCAGAUGGACCUGCGUUGUAUUAGCUAGUUGGUGAGGUAACGGCUCACCAAGGCGACGAUACAUAGCCGACCUGAGAGGGUGAUCGGCCACACUGGGACUGAGACACGACCCAGACUCCUACGGGAGGCAGCAGUAGGGAAUCUUCGGCAAUGGGGGGAACCCUGACCGAGCAACGCCGCGUGAGUGAAGAAGGUUUUCGGAUCGUAAAGCUCUGUUGUAAGAGAAGAACGGGUGUGAGAGUGGAAAGUUCACACUGUGACGGUAUCUUACCAGAAAGGGACGGCUAACUACGUGCCAGCAGCCGCGGUAAUACGUAGGUCCCGAGCGUUGUCCGGAUUUAUUGGGCGUAAAGCGAGCGCAGGCGGUUAGAUAAGUCUGAAGUUAAAGGCUGUGGCUUAACCAUAGUAUGCUUUGGAAACUGUUUAACUUGAGUGCAGAAGGGGAGAGUGGAAUUCCAUGUGUAGCGGUGAAAUGCGUAGAUAUAUGGAGGAACACCGGUGGCGAAAGCGGCUCUCUGGUCUGUAACUGACGCUGAGGCUCGAAAGCGUGGGGAGCAAACAGGAUUAGAUACCCUGGUAGUCCACGCCGUAAACGAUGAGUGCUAGGUGUUAGGCCCUUUCCGGGGCUUAGUGCCGCAGCUAACGCAUUAAGCACUCCGCCUGGGGAGUACGACCGCAAGGUUGAAACUCAAAGGAAUUGACGGGGGCCCGCACAAGCGGUGGAGCAUGUGGUUUAAUUCGAAGCAACGCGAAGAACCUUACCAGGUCUUGACAUCCCUCUGACCGCUCUAGAGAUAGAGUUUUCCUUCGGGACAGAGGUGACAGGUGGUGCAUGGUUGUCGUCAGCUCGGGUCGUGAGAUGUUGGGUUAAGUCCCGCAACGAGCGCAACCCCUAUUGUUAGUUGCCAUCAUUGAGUUGGGCACUCUAGCGAGACUGCCGGUAAUAAACCGGAGGAAGGUGGGGAUGACGUCAAAUCAUCAUGCCCCUUAUGACCUGGGCUACACACGUGCUACAAUGGCUGGUACAACGAGUCGCAAGCCGGUGACGGCAAGCUAAUCUCUGAAAGCCAGUCUCAGUUCGGAUUGUAGGCUGCAACUCGCCUACAUGAAGUCGGAAUCGCUAGUAAUCGCGGAUCAGCACGCCGCGGUGAAUACGUUCCCGGGCCU
rnacentral:rRNA from 1 species